rnacentral:piRNA from 1 species
UAGGAUGCUGGUGAUGUCACCAGUGGUGGU